CCUACGGGGGGCAGCAGUGAGGAAUAUUGGUCAAUGGGCGUAAGGCUGAACCAGCCAAGUCGCGUGAGGGAAGACUGUCCUAUGGAUUGUAAACCUCUUUUGUGCGGGGGUAAAAGAGGCCACGCGUGGCGUUUUGCAAGUACCGCAAGAAUAAGCAUCGGCUAACUCCGUGCCAGCAGCCGCGGUAAUACGGAAGGUCCGGGCGUUAUCCGGAUUUAUUGGGUUUAAAGGGAGCGCAGGCGGGAGUUUAAGUCAGCCGUGAAAUUUGGUGGCUCAACCAUGUGCGUGCGGUGAAAACUGGUGAUCUUGAGUGCGUGGAAGGUAGGCGGAAUGCGUGGUGUAGCGGUGAAAUGCAUAGAUAUCACGCAGAACUCCGAUUGCGAAGGCAGCAUGCCGGAGCUUUACUGACGCUGAUGCUCGAAAGUGUGGGUAUCGAACAGGAUUAGAUACCCGGGUAGUC
rnacentral:rRNA from 1 species